AUCGGAAUUACUGGGCGUAAAGCGUGCGCAGGCGGUGAUGUAAGACAGAUGUGAAAUCCCCGGGCUCAACCUGGGAACUGCAUUUGUGACUGCAUCGCUGGAGUGCGGCAGAGGGGGAUGGAAUUCCGCGUGUAGCAGUGAAAUGCGUAGAUAUGCGGAGGAACACCGAUGGCGAAGGCAAUCCCCUGGGCCUGCACUGACGCUCAUGCACGAAAGCGUGGGGAGCAAACAGG
rnacentral:rRNA from 1 species